rnacentral:sRNA from 12 species
UGACCAUCCCUCUGGUGAGGGAUCGAGGCUACACGGAUGGCCGGGUCAAAUGCCGA